GCCAGAAUGGUGUAAUGGUUUGAGUGUUGCACUACAACUCUGGAGACCAGGGUUCGAUUCCCAGCUCAGCCA